AGAUGGAUGAUUGGGCAUCAGAUGGACGAUUGGGCCUUCAGAUGGACGAUUGGGCCCUUAGAUGGACGAUUGGGCCUCAGAUGGACGAUUGGGCCCUUAGAUGGACGAUUGGGCCUCAGAUGGACAAUUGGGCCUCAGAUGGACGAUUGGGCCUUCAGAUGGACGAUUGGGCCUCAGGUGGAUGGUUGGGCCUCAGAUGGACGAUUGGGCCCUUAGAUGGAUGAUUGGGCAUCAGAUGGACGAUUGGGCCUCAGAUGGACGAUUGGGCCCUCA